rnacentral:rRNA from 1 species
CCUACGGGGGGCAGCAGUGGGGAAUAUUGCACAAUGGGGGAAACCCUGAUGCAGCGACGCCGCGUGAGUGAAGAAGUAAUUCGUUACGUAAAGCUCUAUCAGCAGGGAAGAAAUACUGACCUUACGGUCAGCAGACGGUACCUGAGUAAGAAGCCCCGGCUAACUACGUGCCAGCAGCCGCGGUAAUACGUAGGGGGCAAGCGUUAUCCGGAUUUACUGGGUGUAAAGGGAGCGUAGACGGUGCGCCAAGGCUGGAGUGAAAUGCCGCAGCUUAACUGCGGAACUGCUUUGGAAACUGGCGAACUAGAGUGCGGGAGGGGUAAGCGGAAUUCCUAGUGUAGCGGUGAAAUGCGUAGAUAUUAGGAAGAACACCGGUGGCGAAGGCGGCUUACUGGACCGUAACUGACGUUGAGGCUCGAAAGCGUGGGGAGCAAACAGGAUUAGAUACCCGAGUAGUC